rnacentral:rRNA from 1 species
AGAACGAACGCUGGCGGCAGGCCUAACACAUGCAAGUCGAACGCCCCGCAAGGGGAGUGGCAGACGGGUGAGUAACGCGUGGGAACGUGCCCUAAGGUACGGAACAACUCCGGGAAACUGGAGCUAAUACCGUAUGUGCCCGAGAGGGGAAAGAUUUAUCGCCUUGGGAUCGGCCCGCGUCUGAUUAGCUAGUUGGUAGGGUAACGGCCUACCAAGGCUACGAUCAGUAGCUGGUCUGAGAGGAUGACCAGCCACACUGGGACUGAGACACGGCCCAGACUCCUACGGGAGGCAGCAGUGGGGAAUAUUGGACAAUGGGCGCAAGCCUGAUCCAGCCAUGCCGCGUGGAUGAUGAAGGCCUUAGGGUUGUAAAGUCCUUUUAACGGGGAAGAUAAUGACGGUACCCGUAGAAUAAGCCCCGGCUAACUACGUGCCAGCAGCCGC